CUUUCUGCCCCGGAAGUUUACAAUGUUCUAGCCCAGACCUGGGGAGUUGAUGGAAAUUUCAACUACAUUAGCCUCAGCUGUGAGGCCAGAGAGAUGCCAGGCAGAGCGUGAAGAGCUGGCGGAUGGAAAAGGGAGAGGGAGGACUAAGAGGGGUUACAGGAACCAGGGUCCGUGUCUGCAGGCCUUGUGGUGUCUGAGAACUCUGGGACUGCCGGUCUUCUUUGUGUCAUGUCCUCCCUCACAAGUGAUGAUGAUGAUGGUGCUGAUGAUGAAGGUAGCAGCUAACAUUUACAUAGUGCUAAGGACUUUUCAAACAUUAACUCACUUCAUCUUCAUAAAAGCCCUCUGAGGGCUCACACCUGAUGUCAACAUCUGCGUCAGUGCGUGUUGGGCUUCUGGGACUUGCUGCUGCGGACCGCACGGGGAGUGUCCAGCACUGAGUUCAGGAAGCCGUGGCAGGGGAUUGGACGAGGCCUCCAAAGCCUCCUACACGGAGCGGAGUUUCUAUGAUCUGCUUAUCAACCAUUUGCACUCAGAGCCUUUGUUUCUUCAAAAACUCUCUUUAAAAUGGGCCCUUGUCUACCUGCUGGAGUUGGGGGGCAAGGAAGCAGGAAGAAGGAGUUCUUAUUUCCUUUCAGACAGUGACUGUAUCCUGAGCAUCCCCUAUGGUGGAGAUGCAAAAAGAGGGAAAGAUGAAGAGGGCGGGCAGCGGAAUGUACGGAGGGCACCACCAGCAGCUCCAGUUCCGUGGGGACUGGUACCCUGCCUGUAGCUGCCCUCGAUGCUGUGCUGGCUUGUUUAUCAUGGGUUAUUUUACGAUUUAUUUGUCAUUUAUUGUGUUACUUAUCUGUCCUUCAAAUCUAAAUGAUUUUUUUUCUCAUGUUCUCCUUUUGCCACAAAAGUAACUGAUUCCAGUUGGCUCUGAUUCCAAGCACUGGCAAUGAGUGACUACCAAGGAGGGACCCUGGAAGUCUGUCUUAAGAAUGUCAUCUUGGCAAGGCUGUUGUGUCUUACCAGGACAAGGAGGGGGCGUGGAAUGAAGUCAAAGGCCCAUUCCACACACUUAGGAGAGAGACAUAUUCUGAGGGGCGUUAGGAGAGGAUGGUCUUUUCUGGAGAACUUUGCCUCAAGCCUUGAAUACAUUCUCUGGAGAGUAGAACAUGGAGAUUUCCUCAGACUUCCAGAGCAUUUUAGUGUUAGCGGAAUAGCCUGGUGUAGUUUUUAUUACAGCAGGCUUGGAGUCUGAAGAUUUAGGUCUGAGAUCUGGCUCUUUUACUUCCUAGCUACGGCUAAGUUGCCUUCUUCACAGCAUAGUUAUAAAGGGCAAAUGGGAAACGUUACGACAACACUUUAUAAACUGUAAAGUUGUGCAAAUAUUAGUUUGUUAUUGUUACCUAGCAAUACUCAGGGAUUGCCCUUGUCUAGGUUCCAGUUAAGUAGCCAGGAUCUGUGGAAUGAAGGCUCGGCAGGUUCAGUUGCAACUGAAGGGUGAAAUCAGAUGAUAAAGGUUCUAAUGCAGGCUUCAGUGUGAUGGCCUGAAAUAACGCUACGGAGGAACCAUGUACAACUUUCCUGAGCAGUUGCUUUGGUGGUAACUACUAGUUUCUUUUCACCAGGGAUUGGGUGAGAGGGAUUGCAUUUUAUACCAGAGAUUGUAUUUAACCUCUUUCCCCACCCCCACCCCAGCAUUUGGUCUUGGCCAUUCCUGAAGGCUUGGCUCCUUCUCCUCCCCUGACCUCAGCCACAGGGGAGUCGCCUCUCCCCAGUGAUCUCUCUGGUCUCCGUCUCCCAAACCUGCUCCCGUUGUCUGCUGGACUCAGAAGCUGACCCUUUGCUUCCGUUCCAGUCCCUGCUCUCCAUUUCCUGCUUGGGCUUGAUGCUUCAGAGUCGUCCUGGCUUCCCAAGGCUCUCGCCUCUCACAUUUUCAUCAGCUGAGAGGGAGGUAGUGAUGUGGGUUCUACCUCCCCAUCCUGGGCAGGCUGCCUUGUGUGGAGCAAGUGUUGGGAAUGGAGGGUCUUCUCAUGGUCCUUAGCAUUUACUGAAAUGCACUUGCUGAUGUACAGGGCAGUCCUCUGCCUGGCUGCUCUCUGGCUCUCGUGACCCUUCCAGCAUUCCUGGGUAAUCUCUCGGAAGCUCCCACAGUUACAUAUCACAUCAUUCUGAGAACAAGGAGGCACUUCUUUCUGUCUGGGAGGAGACCCCUGAGUGUCAGUCAACCCUGGGUGCUUUUCCUACACUGCACUCACUGCUGGGCCCUGCUCACCUACCUUCUUACUGCUGGUGUUUAAAGUCUUCCCAGGGCAGAUUCCCCUAAGAUCACUUGUGCCUUCAGGUCAGUCUUAAGCCUCCAGAUCCUCCCAGACAAGUCAUCCCUACCUCGAGGAUAACUUCCAUCAACUUUCAGGCCUUGCUUCCAGUUUGGAUCCUUCUUCGCCUCUGCUGAGCCUUGGGGCUCUGGCCCCUGUCCUGGGGCUCAACUCCCCCGUCUCAGUGCACUGGGGGCUGGUCUGCUGAGCCUCCUGGGGUCUCCAUGGCUGGAACUGUGAAGAAAGAGCUUCUGGGCAGGAUGCCACUAGCAAGCCUGUCUCCCUAAGAACAACAGGCCCGUUUUCUCUCUAGUUGUUCAGAAACCCUCCCCUUUUCUCACAGCUGUGUGAAAAGAAGCCAAAUGCCCAUUCUUAAUGUGUAACAACUGAGGCUCAUAUGCAAACUGCUGUUAUCUCAGCAGGAGAGCAAUUUGCAACCAUUUAAAAUCCUUUCACUCUUCUCUUCUCCUCCGUGUAUGGUUGUACACACACCAGUCCAUAUUUAUUAGUGCAGAUGGUGAGAAACUCGUCAUUGAAAGGGCUUGGAGCACAGAGGGAAAUGGAUUUUUGGCCUCACUCUGGCCUUAUAAACAAGAAGGCUUGAAUGAUGUUAGGUUCCUGAUUCUUGCCUCAAAAGAGCACAGUUUGCUUCUCUCCAAACACAAGAGGUUGUAAAUUGGUAAUUCAUCUCAACCAAAGGCCACAUGAUGAGCAAUUGAAGAAGUAUUUUUUUCUUUGUGUGCAAAGGAGGAACCCGAAGUCUGAGUGUGGGUUCCAGCUGCCGCUUGCCUUUCACCGUUCGUUCGCAGCCCAGAGACACUGGCACAGGCAGCCCUGGGCUCGGCACCUCCCGCUUCCACCUGGCAGGGCUGGCGCGAGGGGAGAAGUCAGCUCAGCAUUUCCAUGUGACUUCUUCCUCUUCUUUUUUUUUGUAGCUAAAAAAUAAAUCAGUUCUAAUAAAAACAUUUAUACUAUAUUCUUUAUUGUCAGCUAAUCCUGCCCGAACUCAUUAAAUAACAGUGUGUGGGUUAUUUGCUGUCAGUGAAAUUAUCAAAGGCAUUUUUCAGCUGGGGCACCAGGAAAACAUAUGCUUCAAUGCCAACUAAAACAAUAAUGAGGAAAUGUUAUGAUCAGUCUUGACCAGAUGACCCUGUCCGUUUUAGAUUAGUUCUUAAUUUCAGCACAAGGGUCAUCCUGUGAAUUCUUACAAUAAGUCACUGCUCACCACUCACAUGAAAAAGAUGUGACUUAUUAGAAAACUCACUGUACUCAUUGCAGUUAAUGAGAUGUGGAAAGCUUUGUAAUUUGAUUUGCUGGGCCAUAUGCUGUAAAGGGAUACUGCUGAUUUCAUUCCUCCGUAUUUAAUUUAAGCAGUA